CAUGCUCAAGGAUGAUUUUUAAUUUUCGAUACCAGCUAUCGAAAUUAGGUCCCAUGAGCUUGUCAUUAUCUAAUAAUGACCGGAGCGACAGGGUAGUGGCUAUAGCUCUGUAAAGAAAAAUCAGACCUCUAUUAGUACAUAAAUUAUAAAUACUAAAGACUUGGACUUUAGUCUAAAGUUUCUCUCAGUAUUUUUACGAACUGGUAGCCUCAACCUCC
rnacentral:lncRNA from 1 species